rnacentral:sRNA from 1 species
AUAGAGAUUUUUAUAGAGGAAACGAUAGAAAAACAAACCUUCAGUUUUUUCACUUUGGCAAAAUAAUUACUUAAAUUUACAUUGACCAUACAAAAUUGGGUUCCGGAUAGUCAACAUUGAAUAUUCCAGAAAAGGAUUUAAGCAUCAGUGAAGCUUGGGGGCUUGUAGGCAAUGAAACUGAUGCAUUGGACUUGACGGGUGUUGUCGAAUCCGAUGAUCCUAAUGAAGGCGCCCGGGUACUCCUUCUUGCAUUCUUCAACUUCCUUCAACACUUGAGCGGAGUCGGUGCAUCCGAACAAUGGAAGCUUCCACAUUGUCCAGUACCGUCCAUCGUAGUAUCCGGGAGUGUUUCCGUGCUCACGGUACACAAAUCCGUGCU